GGAGUGAGGAUGGUUCUCCUGGCUGGCUGAAGGACCUCCGGAACCUCAGACAGAGCAGUUGCUGGCAGGAACCAGGGGAGCAAGAAAGAGCUCCUGGCUGGCUGCUGGGACGCAACCAGAGCAAGGCCCUGAGGUCAAUGAAGACUUCUUUAAAUUGAUGCAAAGGAACUGGAAUAAGGCUGGAGCCUUGGAGGUUACAAACUGGAUGUCCAGAGCUGAUUGACUUUGGAGGAGCCAAAUCAUCCAGGACUGUAAAGUCCCAGUACAGAAAGGUCACCCUCAAGUCGUUCAGAAUGUGGAGGGAGGAGUCCUGGUCUGUACUGCAGAGUAUAGGUCCUUCAAAGGGGAGGUCUUCAACUGUAUCCUGCA